UACGGAGGGUGCGAGCGUUGUCCGGAAUCAUUGGGCGUAAAGGGCGCGUAGGUGGCCCGGUCAGCGUGCGGUGAAAGCUCGGGGCUCAACCCCGAGUCGGCCGUGCGAACUGCUGGGCUGGAGCACUGUAGAGGCAGGCGGAAUUCCGGGUGUAGCGGUGGAAUGCGUAGAGAUCCGGAAGAACACCGGUGGCGAAGGCGGCCUGCUGGGCAGUGGCUGGACACUGAGGCGCGACAGCGUGGGGAGCAAACAGGG
rnacentral:rRNA from 1 species